rnacentral:tRNA from 2 species
GGAGAGGUGACCGAGUGGCUGAAGGUGCUCGCCUGGAAAGCGGGUGUGUCAGCAAUGGCACCGCGGGUUCGAAUCCCGCCCUCUCCGCCA